rnacentral:rRNA from 1 species
ACGAACGCUGGCGGCAUGCCUAAUACAUGCAAGUCGAACGAGAUCCUUCGGGGUCUAGUGGCGCACGGGUGCGUAACGCGUGGGAAUCUGCCCUUGGGUUCGGAAUAACAGUUAGAAAUGACUGCUAAUACCGGAUGAUGACGAAAGUCCAAAGAUUUAUCGCCCAGGGAUGAGCCCGCGUAGGAUUAGCUAGUUGGUGGGGUAAAGGCCUACCAAGGCGACGAUCCUUAGCUGGUCUGAGAGGAUGAUCAGCCACACUGGGACUGAGACACGGCCCAGACUCCUACGGGAGGCAGCAGUAGGGAAUAUUGGACAAUGGGCGAAAGCCUGAUCCAGCAAUGCCGCGUGAGUGAUGAAGGCCUUAGGGUUGUAAAGCUCUUUUACCCGAGAUGAUAAUGACAGUAUCGGGAGAAUAAGCUCCGGCUAACUCCGU